UUCUACCCCUAAUGGGCUGCAGGAAGCAAAGGGUUGUAUGUGACUGUUCCAGCCAAGAAGGCCAGACCAGUUCUUUGUAGCUUAUGUUCUUCUGACUCACCCCUAAGUCCCAUGGGCUGAGUAACUUUUCCAGCCUUGUGAUUGUGGAAACUUGUUUCAGGAAGAGCGGAUAUGAAAAGGACAUAAGGUGACCCCACCCCAGCUUCAAAGUGGCUCCCACUGGAGUCAAUACCUUCCUUCGCUGUAUCUGUUUGCAGUUUUUAAAUCACCGUUUCACUGCCCAGCCCAGCAGCACAUUCAUUUCCCUGCCCUGUUUCACGGUUGGUAAACAGAAUCCCCAAGGCAGAAGGAGGUCGUUCAGACAGUUCUCGCCGACAGUUCUCGCCGGGACCUUUUCCCCAAGCCUUGCUCACUUCCUUGCUAGAUUGUUGCACAAAACUCCUCCAGAUGAGUUGUGAAGCCGAGUGGAGUCCCAGGACACUGCGAGUCACCGUGCAGCAGCCUGGAACCUGGCUGCCCAGUUCCCCAGUCCCAUGAGGACUCUGCCUCCCUGCUUGUGUCUAGUGGGGGUGAUGGCACUUAAGAUUUAAAAGGUUAUAUCUGGCUGUGUAUGUCACACCCACCUCAUGAAUUCCUGUAGAACACAUAUCUUGCCAUUUUCAAGUUUAUAUUCCCUUAGAGUACUCAGCACGAAACAGGCCCAGCAAUGUAGCGAAGCCCUGAGCAACUGGCCCGGCUCAACAUUCUGAUUUAUCAAUUUAGUCCAUUAAUCUCUAAAGUUCUAUGGUUUUAACAAAAAUUGUGCAUAGUAAUAUUUAAGAAUCAUGAAUUUCCCCUGAUGUAUAUAAAAAAUGUUUAUUUGCAUGACUUGUACCCUUCUACCCCCAAGAGCCACCAAACAAAAUUUCCGAUACACACGCGCACACACACACACACACACACACACGCACAUACAAACACACACAUACAC
rnacentral:lncRNA from 1 species